CAGGUAAUGACUAUGAAGAUUCCAUGGAUCCCCACAGGAGACGGCUGUAGGUAGUUCUUGUCCAUUUUGUACACAAAAUCCCCAAUAUAUACACAACAGUAUUUGGAUGUACGUGGCCUAGCUUAGCUUAUAAAAGGUAACGUAACCAUUAGGUAUGUGACAUCAAUAUAUGUAUGUACUGUAAUCCUUGACAA